CCGACCUCUUCUACUCAGACCAGAUCAUCCAGUUGUGGCUGAGGUAGACGUGGUCAUGAUUCUACUUCAGAGUCAUUCCCUUAUUUUGUUCCUUCUGAUCACGAGCCUGAUGCCCAGUCUCUUUGAUCAUGAUUAUGCUGUUUGUAUUAGCUACUAUAGGUCUCACACUACUUGGUUAUUGUAUUUUGUUAAGUGUAUGAGAACCUUAUG
rnacentral:lncRNA from 1 species